rnacentral:rRNA from 1 species
UACGGAGGGUGCGAGCGUUUUUCGGAAUCAUUGGGCGUAAAGCGCGUGUAGGCGGCUUGGUAAGUCGGGUGUGAAAUCCCGGGGCCCAACCCCGGAACUGCAUUCGAAACUGCCUCGCUAGAGUCCCGGAGAGGAAGGCGGAAUUCCCGGUGUAGAGGUGAAAUUCGUAGAUAUCGGGAGGAACACCAGCGGCGAAGGCGGCCUUCUGGACGGUGACUGACGCUGAGACGCGAAAGCGUGGGGAGCAAACAGG